rnacentral:rRNA from 1 species
UCCGUAGGUGGAUAAUUAAGUCAGAGGUGAAAUCCUACAGCUCAACUGUAGAAUUGCCUUUGAUACUGGUUAUCUUGAGUCAUUAUGAAGUGGUUAGAAUGUGUAGUGUAGCGGUGAAAUGCAUAGAUAUUACACAGAAUACCGAUUGCGAAGGCAGAUCACUAAUAAUGUACUGACACUGAGGGACGAAAGCGUGGGGAGCGAACAGGAUUAGAUACCCUGGUAGUCC